GGAGCGGACCGGACGGUCGCGGCGGGACGCUGUUUCUUCGGAAGCGGCGGAUUCGUCGAGGAAAGUCCGGGCUCCACAGGACAGGGUGGUGGGUAACGCCCACCGGGCGACGCGGUCUUCUUCGGGAACCGCGGAAGCCCCGGGCCAGUGCCACAGAAAGCAAACCGCCGAACGGUCGGCCGCGGCGUUCGCGUCGCGGUCGGUGCGUGGUAAGGGUGAAAGGGUGCGGUAAGAGCGCACCGGGCCGGCGGCGACGUCGGUCGCACGGUCAACCCCUCCCGGAGCAAGGCCGAACAGGGCGGAGGAAUCGCCGGCCCGGUCACGGGAAACCGUGGCUGGGGCGGAACGAACGCGGCUCGGUCCGGGCCGUUCGACGUCCGGGUGGGCUGCUUGAGCGCCGUGGCAACACAGCGUCCAGAGAAAUGACCGUCGCCCUCGACGACCGGCUUGCCGAUCGGCGGGGGGACAGGACCCGGCUUACAGGUCCGCUCCGGUU
rnacentral:RNase_P_RNA from 1 species